rnacentral:rRNA from 1 species
UACGUAGGGUGCAAGCGUUGUCCGGAAUUAUUGGGCGUAAAGAGCUCGUAGGCGGUCUGUCGCGUCUGCUGUGAAAACUCAGGGCUUAACCCUGAGCUUGCAGUGGGUACGGGCAGACUAGAGUGCGGUAGGGGAGACUGGAAUUCCUGGUGUAGCGGUGAAAUGCGCAGAUAUCGAGAGGAACACCUGCGGCGAAGGCGGGUUGCUGGGCUGACACUGACGCUGAUGCGCGAAAGCUAGGGGAGCGAACGGG